UAGAAUGUCCUAAGAUAUGCAGUUGGCAAGCUGGAGACCGAAGAAGAGCCAAUAUUUCAGUUUGAGUCUGAAGGCAGGAAAAGACUGAUGUCCCAUCUCAAAGCAGUCAGGCAGAGGGAGUUUCCUCUUGUUCUUACUCAAGCAAGGAUGGCGCAGUGCUCCUGCCAUUCCGAGGCUCAGCGACCCUGAGGGAGGCAGGGAAUUUUGAUCAGCGUCUGAAGAAUCACCUCAUCUCUUCCUGCAGAAGCACAGAGCACAAGACUUCACAUUAUGUCAACAUCUCUUGCAAAAGCCCAGCUCAUAGAGAGCAGGAGCCUUCUCAGACUGUGUCAAAUUAUCUCGGGGAUGGAGAGACUUACAUGGCACUAAAAGAAAUCAAAUGGCAGAGCUCAGCUUUCUGAUGAGUCUUCUGAGGUUCAGAAGAGUGAGAUGACACCUUCAAGGUCACGUGGCUUAUUUGUGUUGGAGUCAGAGGUUUCCAGAUUUCUUGACUUUUAGUCCAAGGAGCAGUCCCUGUGCAUGUGUCAGAGAUGAACAAGCCAGAUGGCCUGAGUGUCCAUGACUUCAGGUGCAUCUUGAAAGCUACAUAUAGAAGAUGGAAAAGCCUCUGUCAUCUCCAUAAAUGUAAUCUCCAAAUAACUACUUAGACAAAGGACAGCUUACUACCUCCUUCAUUGCCCAGUACUAUUAGCUAAAAACAUCAAACAGGAAAUUCAAAUUCUACAUGGUAGGAUCAAAAGUGGAUCUUGUUUUUCUUAGCAACAUGGUUGAACUUCAUAGUGAAGUUUGAACCUGACAGCAUUCAUGUUCAAAUGUCCAAGCACUGCAUUUCUGAUACUGUGGAAGCACAGGCACGCUGUGUGAUAUUGUGCAGCAUUUGAUCCUGCCUGACUUCUGUGUCUCAGGCUAUCACCAAAGAUAUUUAUAGUUGCCUUAUGCCAAUGUACUUGUUAAAGCUAGGUAAUACUAAUGUAAGAUGGUCACAUUUAUCUUGAAUGCUGCGGCAGGGUACCAUGUGUGCUCCCUGCACUACUG